AUCCCUGACGAGUUCUAAAUAGGACGAAACAUACGUCCUGGAU
rnacentral:hammerhead_ribozyme from 1 species